AGUUCCCUGCCGAAGGUAAGAAGACAAAUCUUUUGUUUUGAACGUUGGAUGAAAUUCAAAAUUUUAUUCAUACCAUAAGCUAAAGUUUUUGGGGGGCUGAACAAUGAGAUACAAACCUCCAGCAAGGAGGGUACGGAAACCGACGAAGGAGGGGUAGCCGGGCGGUUGGCCGUCACCGCUCUUUUACACAGGUUCCAAGAGGUGCUGCGACGUUACAUCGAGGACGAGAGACGCAGCGGUAAAUGCCCUCUGCCAAGAUACAGAUUGUCGGAAAUAUCAUUCGUAUUGAAAGCGGUAGCUACCCUGGUGGUGUCCUUGAAAAAGGCUCCCCCUAACAAAGGUAAGCAUUCGGUCUAUGAUACAAAUAUACAUUGCAUGUAUGUAUGCGCGUCUGGCUCGUUGAAUUGAAAACCCAAGUCAAAGUGGCAUUUUUAUUUAUUUUUUUCACCUAGUCGAUCGAUCGGUCUGGGAGCAACUGAUAGGCUUGUAUCCCUAUCUGGUCGAAUGUACCGUGGCCACGGCUUCGGGCCAGGUUUCACGUUCCCUGCGAGAAGCUCUGCUCCAGUACCACGAUCUGCUGCGAUCACCCACCAGUAAUUUACCAACGACAAACGGCGUUUGACCGGCAAACUCCUUUGGGAAUAACGAUCGUCGGGAUACCUAUUCGUAUUUGUACACGGAGUGAGUAUAAAUUCUUUACUUGAAUAUCGCCUAUCAACGAACAUUCCUAAAAGUGCGAAUUAGAAUACGAUGUUGAUUUUUAUCACACGGUUUGUUAA